AUGCCAGACUCCUACGGGAGGCAGCAGUGGGGAAUAUUGGGCAAUGGGCGCAAGCCUGACCCAGCAACGCCGCGUGAAGGAAGAAGGCUUUCGGGUUGUAAACUUCUUUUAAGAGGGACGAAACAAAUGACGGUACCUCUUGAAUAAGCCACGGCUAACUACGUGCCAGCAGCCGCGGUAAUACGGAGGAUGCGAGCGUUAUCCGGAUUUAUUGGGUUUAAAGGGUGCGUAGGCGGAACAUUAAGUCAGCGGUAAAAUCGAGGGGCUCAACCCCUGUAAGCCGUUGAAACUGGUGAUCUUGAGUGGGCGAGAAGUAUGCGGAAUGCGUGGUGUAGCGGUGAAAUGCAUAGAUAUCACGCAGAACUCCGAUUGCGAAGGCAGCGCACCGGCGCCCUACUGACGCUCAGGCACGAAAGCGUGGGUAUCGAACAGGAUUAGAUACCCGUGUAC
rnacentral:rRNA from 1 species